rnacentral:rRNA from 1 species
UGGGGAAUAUUGGACAAUGGGCGAAAGCCUGAUCCAGCCAUGCCGCGUGUGUGAAGAAGGUCUUCGGAUUGUAAAGCACUUUAAGUUGGGAGGAAGGGCAUUAACCUAAUACGUUAGUGUUUUGACGUUACCGACAGAAUAAGCACCGGCUAACUCUGUGCCAGCAGCCGCGGUAAUACAGAGGGUGCAAGCGUUAAUCGGAAUUACUGGGCGUAAAGCGCGCGUAGGUGGUUUGUUAAGUUGGAUGUGAAAUCCCCGUGCUCAACCUGGGAACUGCAUUCAAAACUGACUGACUAGAGUAUGGUAGAGGGUGGUGGAAUUUCCUGUGUAGCGGUGAAAUGCGUAGAUAUAGGAAGGAACACCAGUGGCGAAGGCGACCACCUGGACUGAUACUGACACUGAGGUGCGAAAGCGUGGGGAGCAAACA